rnacentral:tRNA from 1 species
CAAGUUAUCUUAAUAGUUAAGAAUUUCAUUUACGCUGAAUUUAUUGUCGUGCAAUUCGAUAUAACUUGA